rnacentral:rRNA from 1 species
GGCUAAAACAGUCAGGAUGUUGGCUUAGAAGCAGCCAUCAUUUAAAGAAAGCGUAAUAGCUCACUGAUCGAGUCGUCCUGCGCGGAAGAUGUAACGGGGCUAAGCCAGUCACCGAAGCUGCGGAUAUUUUUUCUGUGAUUUAUCACUGGAAUCAAUAUGGUAGGAGAGCGUUCUGUAAGCCUGCGAAGGUGUCUUGUAAAGGAUGCUGGAGGUAUCAGAAGUGCGAAUGCUGACAUGAGUAGCGAUAAUGGGGGUGAAAAGCCUCCACGCCGUAAGCCCAAGGUUUCCUGUUCAACGUUCAUCGGAGCAGGGUGAGUCGGCCCCUAAGGCGAGGCAGAGAUGCGUAGCUGAUGGGAAGCAGGUUAAUAUUCCUGCACCGUCGUAUGAUGCGAUGGGGGGACGGAUCGCGGAAGGUUGUCUGACUGUUGGAAUAGUCAGUUUCUGUCUCAUAGAAGGCGCUUAGGCAAAUCCGGGCGCGGAAUUCAAGGGGAUGGGACGAGUGCACUUGUGCACGAAGCAAUCGGAAGUGGUUCCAAGAAAAGCCUCUAAGCUUCAGUCAUACGAGACCGUACCGCAAACCGACACAGGUGGGCGAGAUGAGUAUUCUAAGGCGCUUGAGAGAACUCGGGAGAAGGAA